GACGAACGCUGGCGGCGUGCUUAACACAUGCAAGUCGAACGGAAAGGCCCUGCAUUUGUGGGGUACUCGUGUGGCGAACGGGUGAGUAACACGCGAGUAACCUGCCCUUGAUUUUGGGAUAACUUAAGGAAACUGGGGCUAAUAACGGAUAGGUGCUCCUGCUGCAUGGUGGGGGUUGGAAAGUUUCGGCGGUUGGGGAUGGACGCGCGGCAUAUCAGCUUGUUGGUGAGGAAGUGGCUUACGAAGGCUUUGACGGGUAGCCGCCCUGAGAGGGUGACAGGCCACAGUGGGACUGGGAUGCGACCAGGAGUGCUACGGGAGGCAUCAGUGGAGGACUGUGCGCGAUGCGCGGAGGCCUGGAGCAGCAACGCCGCGUGCGGAAGGACGGCCUUCCGGGUGUAAAGCGCUUUCGCCGGUGACGGAGCAGGAGUGACGGUAAUGGAUAAGAAAGCAACGGCUAACUACGUG
rnacentral:rRNA from 1 species